rnacentral:rRNA from 1 species
UACGAAGGGGGCGAGCGUUGUUCGGAAUCACGUGGGACGUAAGGGCGCGUAGGCGGCCCUCCUAGUCGCGUGUGAAAGCCCCGGGCUCAACCUGGGAACGGCCGCGCGAAACGGGGGGGCUGGAGUUCGGGAGAGGAUGCGUGGAAUUCCCAGUGUAGAGGUGAAAUUCGUAAGAUAUUGGGAAGAACACCGGUGGCGAAGGCGGCGCUCUGGACCGAGACUGACGCUGAAGGCUGCGGAAAGCGUGGGGAGCAAAC